rnacentral:rRNA from 1 species
ACACAUGCAAGUCGAACGAAGCGCUUAAAUGGAUUUCUUCGGAUUGAAGUUUUUGUGACUGAGUGGCGGACGGGUGAGUAACGCGUGGGUAACCUGCCUCAUACAGGGGGAUAACAGUUAGAAAUGACUGCUAAUACCGCAUAAGCGCACAGUGCUGCAUGGCACAGUGUGAAAAACUCCGGUGGUAUGAGAUGGACCCGCGUCUGAUUAGCUGGUUGGUGGGGUAACGGCCUACCAAGGCGACGAUCAGUAGCCGGCCUGAGAGGGUGAACGGCCACAUUGGGACUGAGACACGGCCCAAACUCCUACGGGAGGCAGCAGUGGGGAAUAUUGCACAAUGGGGGAAACCCUGAUGCAGCGACGCCGCGUGAGCGAAGAAGUAUUUCGGUAUGUAAAGCUCUAUCAGCAGGGAAGAAAAUGACGGUACCUGACUAAGAAGCACCGGCUAAAUACGUGCCAGCAGCCGCGGUAAUACGUAUGGUGCAAGCGUUAUCCGGAUUUACUGGGUGUAAAGGGAGCGUAGACGGUUGUGUAAGUCUGAUGUGAAAGCCCGGGGCUCAACCCCGGGACUGCAUUGGAAACUAUGUAACUAGAGUGUCGGAGAGGUAAGCGGAAUUCCUAGUGUAGCGGUGAAAUGCGUAGAUAUUAGGAGGAACACCAGUGGCGAAGGCGGCUGACUGGACGAUCACUGACGUUGAGGCUCGAAAGCGUGGGGAGCAAACAGGAUUAGAUACCCUGGUAGUCCACGCCGUAAACGAUGACUACUAGGUGUCGGGGAGCAAAGCUCUUCGGUGCCGCAGCAAACGCAAUAAGUAGUCCACCUGGGGAGUACGUUCGCAAGAAUGAAACUCAA